rnacentral:lncRNA from 1 species
GUAAUAUUCUAAUGGUAGAAUUUCAGAAUCAUAGCAACUAGGAAGAAAAUAUUUUUAUAAAUCUUUUUUUUUCUUUCUUUUUGGUACUGGGAAUCAAACUCAGGACCUUGCACUUGCCAGGCAGGUGUGAUUACCACUGAGCUACAUCCCUGGCCCCAGAAGAAAAUAUUUUUAGUCAAGAGCACCUUCACAAAAUGUAAGAUUCAGGAUGGCGAGUUCUUGGAAAACUUUUACAAUCUAACACAGGAACAGGCACUUCUUGGAGUGAAUGAAAGAAUGAAUAUAUGA